rnacentral:rRNA from 1 species
UACGUAGGGUGCGAGCGUUGUCCGGAAUUAUUGGGCGUAAAGAGCUCGUAGGCGGCCUGUCGCGUCGGAUGUGAAAGCCCAGGGCUUAACCCCGGGUCUGCAUUCGAUACGGGCAGGCUAGAGAGUGGUAGGGGAGAUCGGAAUUCCUGGUGUAGCGGUGAAAUGCGCAGAUAUCAGGAGGAACACCGGUGGCGAAGGCGGAUCUCUGGGCCAUUACUGACGCUGAGGAGCGAAAGCGUGGGGAGCGAACAGG